rnacentral:tRNA from 1 species
GCCUCCGUAGCUCAGCUGGAUAGAGCGCCGGCCUUCUAAUCCGGAUGCCGCAGGUUCGAGUCCUGCCGGGGGCG